UACGUAGGGUGCGAGCGUUGUCCGGAAUUAUUGGGCGUAAAGAGCCUGUAGGUGGUUUGUCGCGUCUGCUGUGAAAAUCCGAGGCUCAACCUCGGACUUGCAGUGGGUACGGGCAGACUAGAGUGUGGUAGGGGAGACUGGAAUUCCUGGUGUAGCGGUGGAAUGCGCAGAUAUCAGGAGGAGCACCGAUGGGCGAAGGCAGGUCUCUGGGCCGA
rnacentral:rRNA from 1 species